rnacentral:rRNA from 1 species
GACAGAGGGUGCAAACGUUGUUCGGAAUUACUGGGCGUAAAGCGCAUGUAGGCGGCCAAGCAGGUCGGAUGUGAAAUCCCUCGGCUCAACCAAGGAAGUGCAUUCGAAACCGCAUGGCUGGAGUCCCGGAGAGGAUGGUAGAAUUCUCGGUGUAGAGGUGAAAUUCGUAGAUAUCGAGAGGAACACCGGCGGCGAAAGCGGCCAUCUGGACGAGGACUGACGCUGAGAUGCGAAAGCGUGGGGAGCAAACAGG